rnacentral:lncRNA from 1 species
CCCAACUCUAAGAGGAGGCUUGAAUCAGUUACAUCCAAAGAUGUCUUCUAUCCUAUAUCUUGCUGAGAUUUCCAUUAUUUUGAUCAACUUAUCUCAUUAAUGUAGCAAGAGUUCAAUACAAAAUCUCCAACUUUCCUUUCUCCCCAAAAGAGCACUUUUUUAAUUGUGUUGAAUUGGUUCAAGGAAUGGUCUGCUGAGUACUGGAGACAAGAUUUUGGCAGACAAACCAACUAGCCAAGCAUACAACAUUUUUGUUCACUGAGGAGGAGUGGUGCCUUCACCUGAAGACCAUGAAGCCAAAGAUGCACUUCUCUUACACUGUGGAUUCCUGCUAUAUCGUUUUGUUCUGUCUUGCAUGAUUUGACUCUUAGUGUAUUACCUACGCAGAAAGCCACUAAAAA